GGAGAGAUGGCCGAGUGGUUGAUAGCUCCGGUCUUGAAAACCGGUAUAGUUCGAAACAAAGAACUAUCGAGGGUUUGAAUCCCUCUCUUUCUU
rnacentral:tRNA from 1 species